AUGCGUGAUCAGGUUGGCAUCGACCUGGACGGCUUCCUCCUCGAGCACGAGUUCCCGAACGACUAUGGGCUAGAGGAAGAGGACGAGUGCGACAUCGAAGUGGAGCCUUUGUUCGAGGACGAGCUCGCCAACCAAACCGCCGGUCCUAAGCCGAAGCGCAAGAGCAAGCGCACGAAGGCGUACACAGCUGCCGAGGACAAGCUUCUUUGUGAUUGUUGGCGAGACAUUGGACAAGACCCAAAGACGGGCGCCGAGCAAAAGCAUUCGACCUUUUGGACUCGUGUGCACCGCGAGUUUCAUGAGCGCAAGAAGUUUCCACCUUACAAAUUUGUGAGAACGCGCGGGUGGGUCUCCAUUUCCAAGCGGUGGAGGGUGAUCCAACAAGAGUGCAACAAGUUUUGCGCCACCCUUGAGAGCGUCAAGGCCCGCCCCGUGAGCGGCAUCGGCGUGCAAGACAUGGUAUGA
rnacentral:rRNA from 1 species